rnacentral:rRNA from 1 species
UGGGGAAUUUUGGACAAUGGGCGAAAGCCUGAUCCAGCAAUGCCGCGUGUGUGAAGAAGGCCUUCGGGUUGUAAAGCACUUUUGUCCGGAAAGAAAUCCUUGGCUCUAAUACAGUCGGGGGAUGACGGUACCGGAAGAAUAAGCACCGGCUAACUACGUGCCAGCAGCCGCGGUAAUACGUAGGGUGCAAGCGUUAAUCGGAAUUACUGGGCGUAAAGCGUGCGCAGGCGGUUUGCUAAGACCGAUGUGAAAUCCCCGGGCUCAAACCUGGGAACUGCAUUGGUGACUGGCAGGCUAGAGUAUGGCAGAGGGGGGUAGAAUUCCACGUGUAGCAGUGAAAAUGCGUAGAGAUGUGGAGGAAAUACCGAUGGCGAAAGGCAGCCCCCUGGGGCCAAAUACUGACGCUCAUGCACG